rnacentral:rRNA from 1 species
AGAGUUUGAUCCUGGCUCAGAACGAACGCUGGCGGCGUGCUUAACACAUGCAAGUCGAACGGAAUUGAGGGGCUUGCUCCUUAAUUUAGUGGCGCACGGGUGAGUAACGCGUGGAUAAUCUGCCUGAUGAUCUGGGAUAACAUCUCGAAAGGGGUGCUAAUACCGGAUAAGCCCACGGGGACUUCGGUUCUUGCGGGAAAAGAGGGGGACCUUCGGGCCUCUUGUCAUCAGAUGAGUCCGCGUACCAUUAGCUAGUUGGUGGUGUAAUGGACCACCAAGGCUACGAUGGUUAGCUGGUCUGAGAGGAUGAUCAGCCACACUGGAACUGAGACACGGUCCAGACUCCUACGGGAGGCAGCAGUGGGGAAUUUUGCGCAAUGGGGGAAACCCUGACGCAGCAACGCCGCGUGAGUGAUGAAGGCCUUCGGGUCGUAAAGCUCUGUCUAGAGGAAAGAAAUGUUUGGGGGCUAAUACCCUUUGAACUUGACGGUACCUCUGAAGGAAGCACCGGCUAACUCCGUGCCAGCAGCCGCGGUAAUACGGAGGGUGCGAGCGUUGUUCGGAAUUAUUGGGCGUAAAGCGCGUGUAGGCGGUUUUUUAAGUCUGAUGUGAAAGCCCCGGGCUCAACCUGGGAAGUGCAUUGGAUACUGGAAGACUUGAGUACGGGAGAGGGUAGUGGAAUUCCUAGUGUAGGAGUGAAAUCCGUAGAUAUUAGGAGGAACACCGGUGGCGAAGGCGGCUACCUGGACCGAUACUGACGCUGAGACGCGAAAGCGUGGGGAGCAAACAGGAUUAGAUACCCUGGUAGUCCACGCCGUAAACGAUGAGUACUAGGUGUUGCGGGUAUUGACCCCUGCAGUGCCGCAGCUAACGCAUUAAGUACUACCGCCUGGGAAGUACGGUCGCAAGACUAAAACUUACAAAGGAAUUGACGG